rnacentral:misc_RNA from 1 species
AGGAGUAAAAAAGGGGAGAUGGUUACUUGAUGUUAUUGAUGUAGGUCCCACUAGGCUUGGAGGCAAAGAAAAAGUAUAAAUAAAGGCUACAAGAAUGAUGAAGGCAAGUGAGAAGUAAAUUGCUGUCUUGAAGGCAGAGCUAUCUGCACGGGAUUUCUUUCCAGGAGGCUCGCCAUCCUUGUUUGGCUGCCUGAUUACUGUUUGGAAUUAAUUU